CCUACGGGGGGCAGCAGUAAGGAAUAUUGGACAAUGGUGGCAACACUGAUCCAGCCAUGCCGCGUGAAGGAUGAAGGCGCUAUGCGUCGUAAACUUCUUUUGAACGGGAGAAACCCCUCGUACGUGUACGAGGCUGAUAGUACCGUUAGAAUAAGGGUCGGCUAACUUCGUGCCAGCAGCCGCGGUAAUACGAAGGACCCGGGCGUUAUCCGGAUUCAUUGGGUUUUAGGCGUAAGUAGACGUCAGGAUUGAAAUCCUGCAGCUUAACUGCAGAACUGCCAUUGAUACUGUCGUUCUUGAAUGCAACUGAUGUGGGCGGAGUGUGCCAUGUAGUGGUGAAAUACUUAGAUAUGGCACAGAACACCGAUUGCGAAGGCAGCUCACAAAAUUGUUAUUGACGCUGAUGCACGAAAGCGUGGGGAUCAAACAGGAUUAGAUACCCUUGUAGUC
rnacentral:rRNA from 1 species